rnacentral:rRNA from 1 species
GUGUGGGGCUCAUUCCACGAGUUCCGUGCCGCAGCAACGCAUUAAGUGCCCCGCCUGGGGAGUACGGCCGCAAGGCUAAAACUCAAAGGAAUUGACGGGGGCCCGCACAAGCGGCGGAGCAUGCGGAUUAAUUCGAUGCAACGCGAAGAACCUUACCAAGGCUUGACAUACACCGGAAUCAUCCAGAGAUGGGUGCGUCUUUUUGACUGGUGUACAGGUGGUGCAUGGUUGUCGUCAGCUCGUUUCGUGAGAUGUUGGGUUAAGUCCCGCAACGAGCGCAACCCUCGUCCUAUGUUGCCAGCACGUGAUGGUGGGGACUCAUAGGAGACUGCCGGGGUCAACUCGGAGGAAGGUGGGGAUGACGUCAAAUCAUCAUGCCCCUUAUGUCUUGGGCUUCACGCAUGCUACAAUGGCCGGUACAAAGGGCCGCGAUACCGCAAGGUGGAGCGAAUCCCAAAAAGCCGGUCUCAGUUCGGAUUGGGGUCUGCAACUCGACCCCAUGAAGUCGGAGUCGCUAGUAAUCGCAGAUCAGCAACGCUGCGGUGAAUACGUUCCCGGGCCUUGUACACUCCGCC